rnacentral:ncRNA from 1 species
UUAAAAAUUUGAUCUUUGUUUUUAGAUUUAGCUUUAAGUUUAUAAUGCAUGUAAAUUUUUGUUAGUUUUUAUAUUCUUAAUGAUUUAAUUUUAUUUUCAGUGCUUGAUUUUUUAAAAAUUAUUUUUUUAAUUUAAGUUAUAUUUUAUAGGACUAAAAAAUGUUGUGCCAGCAUUUGCGGUUAUACAUCAGGUUCAAGUUAAUUUUUUUUAGAGUUUAGUUUAAUAAUUUAUUUUUUUUGUAUUUAGGUGAAAUUUAUAUUUUUUAAUUAUUUUAUUUCUAAGUAAAUUUGGAUAUAAACCAGGAUUAGAUACCCUGUUAUUCAAAAUUAAUUUUUAUCUCUAAGGUAGUAUAUUUUAUUAAUUGAAAUUUAAUAGAUCUGGCGGUUUUUAAAUCUUUUUAGAGGAACCUGUAAUUUAAAUGAUAAUCCACGAUUUUUUGUACCUUAAAUUUCUUGUAUAUCGCUGUCGUUGAAUGUAAUGAAAAUUUAAUUUUCUUUUUCUUUUUUUAGAUUUAUGUUAGGUCAAGAUGCAGUUAUUUUAAGGUUAUUAUGGGUUACUUUAAUUUUUGUUUUUGGAUUUUAAAUUUUGAUUUUAUUUGAAUUUGGAUUUAAUAGUAAUUUUUUUUAAUUAAUUAUUUGAAUUUAGCUCUUAAUUAUGUACAUAUCGCCCGUCACUCUCAUAAAUUGAGAUAAGUCGUAACAAAGUAGAUGUACUGGAAAGUGUAUCUAGAAA